rnacentral:rRNA from 1 species
CGGACGGGUGAGUAACGCGUGGGUAACCUGCCUUAUACAGGGGGAUAACAGUUAGAAAUGACUGCUAAUACCGCAUAAGCGCACAGGAUUGCAUGAUCCGGUGUGAAAAACUCCGGUGGUACAGGAUGGUCCCGCGUCUGAUUAGCCAGUUGGCAGGGUAACGGCCUACCAAAGCGACGAUCAGUAGCCGGCCUGAGAGGGUGAACGGCCACAUUGGGACUGAGACACGGUCCAAACUCCUACGGGAGGCAGCAUG